ACGGGAGGCAGCAGUGGGGAAUAUUGCACAAUGGGCGCAAGCCUGAUGCAGCCAUGCCGCGUGUGUGAAGAAGGCCUUCGGGUUGUAAAGCACUUUCAGUCGUGAGGAAGGCGGUGUAGUUAAUAGCUGCAUCGUUUGACGUUAGCGACAGAAGAAGCACCGGCUAACUCCGUGCCAGCAGCCGCGGUAAUACGGAGGGUGCGAGCGUUAAUCGGAAUUACUGGGCGUAAAGCGCAUGCAGGUGG
rnacentral:rRNA from 1 species